rnacentral:rRNA from 1 species
UAGGGAAUAUUGGUAAUGGGCGAAAGCCCGAACCAGCAACGCCGCGUGCGCGUUGAAGGCCUUCGGGUUGUAAAGCGCUUUUUAAGGGGAUGAGGAAGGACAGUACUCUUAGAAUAAGCCUCGGCUAACUACGUGCCAGCAGCCGCGGUAAAAAGUAGGAGGCGAGCGUUAUCCGGAUUUACUGGGCGUAAAGCGUGUGUAGGCGGUUUGAUAAGUCGGAUGUGAAAGCUCCCGGCUCAACUGGGGGAGGUCGUUCAAAACUAUCAGACUUGCGAGUGGUAGAGGGAGGUGGAAUUCCGCGUGUAGUGGUGAAAUGCGUAGAUAUGCGGAGGAACACCAGUGGCGAAAGCGGCCUCCUGGCCCAUUUCUGACGCUCAGACACGAAAGCUAAGGUAGCAAACG